rnacentral:lncRNA from 1 species
UCAAGAAACCUCAAAGAUUCUGCUGUCCUCCACCCAGCAGGAAAAAUCCAGAAACAUUCUAGUCUGGAUAGAAAAGAAUGAUGGACAGAGAUGGCAACUCCAGGGGUGGAGGGUUUGGGAAAGGGAGGGUGAAUGGAUCAAGGUUCGGUGAGUACAGUGGAGGCUACUGACCUGUGCACAAGGUAGAGUCAUUGCAGGACAGGUAGAACUUCCGGCAGUCAGCACAUGCAGUGACUUCCAUUUCGGAGAGGAUGUCUGUCAGAGCAAUGGGCAGGAGCCUCAGACAUGGCAGGGUCUCCUGUCCUUCCCUCCAGCUCAGCCUAGGGCAUACUCACCACAGGACUCAUUGCAGACUGCCUGGGAAAGUGAGAUGGUGGAGAAACUGAGGCACUAGAGAGGCAGACACAGAUGGGAGCGGUGGUAGGACAUGGGACUAGGGACUCAUGGAAGGAACCUAUUCUUUGGGUAGACCAGAGUUCCUGGGGAGACCUUAGGAGGGAUUGCCCAUUGGGGUCUAUAGGCCACAGUGGCAAAGGUAAUGGGUGGAGUGGAGACCAGGGACAGCCCCGUUUCCUACCCUUCUGCAUCAGGUCCUGGGACUUCUCCUUCAGCCUCUCGUCCAGGAGACUCUUCUGAACCCGAAUCUCAUUAAGCAGUGCUGGCUUAUCUGUGUGCAGCAGAAGGGAGUGAGACUCACUGAUAUAAAGUUCGUCUUUUCUUGCGUGUGUGUACAUGUGCACAUAUGUGUACAGGUGAGCAUGCAUGUAGAUGCAUGUGAGUCUGGAACCUGGAGGCCAACCUCGGGUUCUGUUCUUCAAGGAUCACCCACCUUAUUUUUGACACAGCGUCUUUUAUUGGCCUGUAACUCUGUUCUGCCUUGGCAGCAAGCCACAGAGACCCUCCUGCCUCUGCUUCCUCAGCACUGGGAUGCCAGGCACAAUCACCAUGCUUUUUGUUUGUUUGUUUGUUUUUAAUGUGGGUUCUGGGGAUUGAACUCAGGUCUGUCUUCAUGCUUAAAGGGGAAAAUCUUUUAAUGACUGAGUCUUCUCUACAGUUUUUCUUAACUUAAAAACGUGUGUGUGUGUGUGUGUGUGUGUGUGUGUGAGAGAGAGAGAGAGAGAGAGAGAGAGAGAGAGAGCAGGGGUAGUCUAUGAGUAUGUGUCUGUCUCUGUGUUCCUCUAUUUGAAUGCAGGUGUGUAUAUGUCACAGCAUACAUAUGGGUAUCAGAGGAAGACCCGGGCCGACAGUCCUCACCUCCCAUUUUAGUUCUUGAGGCAGGGUUUCUUUUGUUGCUUGUGGAUGUGUAUAUAUGCAGCUAGCUGACCCAGGAGCUUCUAGGAAAUUCUAUCUCCACCUCCCAUCACCCUUUAGGAGCUCUGGGAUUACAGACAUAUGCUACUAUGCCCAGCUUUACCUGGGUGGGCUGUGGAAUCUGAAUUCAGAUAUUCACACUCGUACAGUUAAGUGGUUUUUCUACUGAACCAUCUUUCCAGUCUCCUCCCGCCCCCAGACUUGAUCUCAUGUACCCCAGACUGAUCACUAUGUAGCUGAGGAUGGUCUAGAACUUAUGAUCCUCUUGCUUUCACUUUUUAAGUGCUAAAAUUACAGGGCUGUACCACCAUAGGGUGUAUUUUGGCACAGUAACAUAAGAAGCUUCCCUGUCCACCAUCAAAGUGACCUCCGGGGAAUGCUGUGUAGAAUGGGUCUUGGUAAUCCAACUCAACCCCUGGACAAUUGUCUUCCUUACCAUCCCUCAGCUUUUUAAUGGCGUUGUCUACUUGGGUGAAAAAUGUAGCUGUUUCCUCAUCCAAAUUGUCUCGAGCUGAGGAUGGGACAGGGGACAGAGGGAUGUUGGGGACGGGAUCAGGUCAGGUAAAAGGGUGCUCCCAUCCCUGCCCAGCUGUGCCUCACCAAGAUACCAGGGCAAGAAUAUGGUGUUAUUCUCCAGGAAAAAGGAGUGUAGGCUUUGUGAGAGUUCUGUAGGUGGCCCUGGACUGCCCCAGAGCACCUGCAGGUCAUAGUCCAUCAUGGCGAGCAGCUCUGGCCAGCAGCGGAGGCAGCUCUUCCCAGUGGUUCCUGCCAGCAGGCAGAUCAGCAAGACUAGAUGCAUCUUUCCGAGUCCUUUCCAAGUACUCACAGUCUCAAUCGGAAUGCUGUUGCCCUGGAAACAGCAUUCUCCGGACAGAACAAAGGUAAAUUCCGUGGGACACAGCAAGGGUGGCUGGAGUGAAACCAGGCUUAGGCACCACAGCCAACAUGGAGGGAGAAAAGAGACUGGAGAAAGUGACGUCAACAGCAAUGUAAGAAGUCAACUGGCACUGAGAGGUCUGAGGGCCAUAGGGGCUGGGGGAUGGGACACUGGGAUGCAUUGUCUAUUUGGGUAAAAACUUUAUUAAAAGAGUUAAUGCCCCCCAUUCCUUCUAUCCUUCCCACCCCUUCUGCCUGGUCCUUGCUACUGGUGCAGACCCCUAGUUGGUCUGCUCCCCUGAAGACUUCAUAUACCGAUACAUCCCAGAGGACCUGCUGCACUCAGAGCAGUUGGUAAGAACACUUCCCCCUCCGCCACCCCUGACCCCAGUCCCAGAGUUGCUGCUGGGAGCCUGGUGGAUUCAGGACCCAUCACCCACCAAAACACCCGUCCUCCCGAAUACUACUCUUAUUCCUUCCAUCCCUCCCACUCCUUCCUCCUGGUCCUUGCUGCUGGGGCAGACCCCUAAUUGGUCUGCUCCCCUGAAGACUCCAUAUCCUAACACAUCCCAGAGGACCUGCUGCACUCAGAGCAGUGGAGAACCCUCUGCACUCAGAGAAGUUGAGGAUCAGUUGCACUCAGUGCAGUUGGACAACAGCUUGACUGCUCCAUGGAAGACCCAACAGUCUGAAGCUACCCAGAUACAAAAGAGGCA